GGACUACUGGGGUAUCUAAUCCCGUUUGCUCCCCCAGCUUUCGCGUCUCAGCGUCAGAAGCAGGCCAGGAAGCCGCCUUCGCCACUGGCGUUCCUCCCGAUAUCUACGCAUUUCACCGCUACACCGGGAAUUCCGCUUCCCUCUCCUGCCCUCGAGUCCGGCAGUAUCCCGCGGCAUCCUCCAGUUGAGCCGGAGGCUUUCACACAGGACUGACCAAACCGCCUACACGCGCUUUACGCCCAGUGAUUCCGGACAACGCUUGCCCCCUACGUCUUACCGCGGCGGCUGGCAC
rnacentral:rRNA from 1 species